GGAUCGAUCAUUCCUUGGAAAGCUGAACAAAAUGAGUGAAAACUCUAUACCGCCAUCCUCAUCGAACUGAGGUCC
rnacentral:snoRNA from 1 species